rnacentral:rRNA from 1 species
CCUACGGGAGGCUGCAGUGAGGAAUAUUGGUCAAUGGACGGAAGUCUGAACCAGCCAUGCCGCGUGCAGGAAGACGGCUCUAUGAGUUGUAAACUGCUUUUGUACGAGGGUAAACGCAGAUACGCGUAUCUGUCUGAAAGUACCGUACGAAUAAGGAUCGGCUAACUCCGUGCCAGCAGCCGCGGUAAUACGGAGGAUUCAAGCGUUAUCCGGAUUUAUUGGGUUUAAAGGGUGCGUAGGCGGUCGGAUAAGUUAGAGGUGAAAUCUCGGGGCUUAACUUCGGAACUGCCUCUGAUACUGUUGGGCUAGAGAGUAGUUGCGGUAGGCGGAAUGUGUGGUGUAGCGGUGAAAUGCUUAGAGAUCAUACAGAACACCGAUUGCGAAGGCAGCUUACCAAGCUACAUCUGACGUUGAGGCACGAAAGCGUGGGGAGCAAACAGGAUUAGAUACCCCUGUAGUC